rnacentral:rRNA from 1 species
UACGUAGGGGGCAAGCGUUGUCCGGAUUUAUUGGGCGUAAAGAGCGUGUAGGCGGCCAUACAGGUCCGUUGUGAAAACUGGAGGCUUAACCUCCAGACGUCGAUGGAAACCGUAUGGCUAGAGUCCGGAAGAGGAGAGUGGAAUUCCUGGUGUAGCGGUGGAAUGCGCAGAUAUCAGGAGGAACACCAAUAGCGAAGGCAGCUCGCUGGGACGGUACUGACGCUAAGGCGCGAAAGCGUGGGGAGCGAACAGG